AUUGAACGCUGGCGGCAGGCUUAACACAUGCAAGUCGAGCGGAGUGAUGGUGCUUGCACUAUCACUUAGCGGCGGACGGGUGAGUAAUGCUUAGGAAUCUGCCUAUUAGUGGGGGACAACAUCUCGAAAGGGAUGCUAAUACCGCAUACGUCCUACGGGAGAAAGCAGGGGAUCACUUGUGACCUUGCGCUAAUAGAUGAGCCUAAGUCGGAUUAGCUAGUUGGUGGGGUAAAGGCCUACCAAGGCGACGAUCUGUAGGGGGUCUGAGAGGAUGUUCCGCACCACUGGGACGAGGACACGGCCCAGACUCCUACGGGAGCCAGCAGUGGGGAAUAUUGGACAAUGGGGGGACCCCUGAGCCAGCCGUGCCGCGUGUGUGAAGAAGGCCUUAUGGUUGUAAAGCACUUUAAGCGAGGAGGAAGCUCUUUUGGUUAAUACCCAAGAUGAGUGGACGUUACUCGCAGAAUAAGCACCGGCUAACUCUGUGCCAGCCGCCGCCGUAA
rnacentral:rRNA from 1 species